GAUACGACUCAUGACUUUUGUCCUGUUUUAAAGUCACCUUAUGGCACAAUACAUCAUGAAAUCAAUAGUUGUCCGUCUAGGAAAUUUACCACUGGAGCUGUCUUCCACUGGUGUGGAUAUUCCAAUUGGCCUCAGGUGGCUGUCUCUGCCAUUUUGGUGACUGGCUAGAGUCCAGAGGUAUUUUUGAAGAUGGCACCUAGAAUUCAUAAAGCAUGGCUAAUUCUUCUGAGAAGAGAUGGGACACAAACGUCAAAGAGGAGUCGUUAAAAACGUCAGGCAUCUCUCUGUGCUCCUUCAUCCUCUACGGAACUUCUCCCACAACAGGUCUCUGUCUCCGCAUUCUUUCCUUCCGCCUGGAGAGUAAGCUUCCGGACGCUGGACGUUCGGUUGCCCGAGGGCUCCGACCAGCAGUGCACGCUGAGGCAGGCGGGCCGGAAGUUUGUUUGCCCUAGGGUUCCGACCAGCACUGUGUGCUGAGGCAGGCGGGCCCGGUGGUGCGUUUUGAAUCCAGCAGUGACUAGCGCUGUUUAGAAAAGCCCGGGGCUCUGCUUCUCCACUGUAGGGUCUCAUUCAGCGUAGACUCCCUAGUGGCGAACAACCCCGCCCUAACUCCCAGUAGAGACGGGGGUUUCACCUUGUUGACCAGGACGGUCUCGAUCUCUUGACCUCGUGAUCCACCUGCCUCGGCCUUGCCAGACGUCUUCUUGAGACCACUUUGCUAUUAAGGAAAAAGUUCACAGAGGAGCAAAGCAGCUGCUGACCACCUGGAAGAGGUAGCCUGAUGGGAGUCUGCUCAAAGGGGUUUGCAACCCCUUCUGAAAUCUCUGUGGGUCUCACUUUGUUGCCCAGGUUGGAGUGAAGUGACACAGUCAUAACUCACUACAGUUUCAACAUCCCAGGCUUACGUGAUCUUUCCACCUCAGCCUACUGACCAGCUGGGACUACAGGUUCAGUGAAGAAUGGACAGCCACCUAGAACUGCGAUUGGGGGAAACAGGAAUAAUCAAAUGGAAAUAGACUGAGUCAGGAAACCUAUCAAGCCCUGUCAGCUCAGCUUCUUCAUGGCCUCUCAUUUGGAACAUUUCUGUCUCCCAGGAAGUAUGGAUUUCUGAAGGUCUUGGUUGAGAAAACAAAACUUGGAGGAACUUGGAUACAAUCAUAAAACUACAUGUCCACCACCUGUUGACAGUUUCUGGGCAAGAUAGAAAGAGAAGAAAAAAGGAAAAGGAGAGAAAAGAGAAAUAAAAGGUUGCAUCCGCAUAUUUCAUCAACAGACUAAAUAAAAUAAGAGACUCCAACAGACAUGAUGAAUACCUGGUCACUUUUAAACAAUUGUUAUUCUUUUUUCUGUUUGUUUUGCUUUUUUGUUUUUGAGACAGGGUUGCCUAGGCUGGAAUGCAGUGGUGAGAUCACAGCACACUGCAGCCUUGAACUUUUGGGCUAAAGCAGUCCUCCCACUUCAGCCUCCUGAAUGGCUGGGACUGCAGACACCCACUACCAUGCCUGGAUAAUUUGUAUUUUUUUGUAGAAACAGGGUCUUACUAUGUUGCCCAGGCUGGUCUCAAAUUUCUGGCCCCAAGUGAUCCUUACACCUUAGCCUCCCAAAGUGCCAGGAUUAUAGGCAUGAGCCACUGUGCCUAGUCUAAGAAGUACUAUUCUUUAUCAAAACCAUCUUGAAAAUAUUUUUUAAAAAUAAGGUACUAUUCACAAACUCCAAAGUAUGUAGAAAAUAACCUAUCAAAGAACUUAUCAAGAAAAAAUUAAAACUCAAUUGUUCAUUUGAAAAGAUCUGAAUAAAUGGAAAGAUAUACCACAUUUUUAAAAUAUAAACACAUUAAUUUCCCUCAAAAUUAACCUAUAAAUUUGAUGUAAUUUCAGACAAAAUUAUUGCAAGUUUUUUUUUUUUGAGGACCUCAACAUUCUUACUCUAAAAUGAAGAGUAAAUAAUUCCAACAUACUUACUCUAUAAGAAGGAAUAAAGGUUCAUGAUGCAUAAGUCAUUUUGAAAAAUGAAGAGAAAAGAGAAGGAACUCACCCUUCCAGACAAAAUCAGCUUGAAAUUGGAACAUAGUCAAAUACAUCUAGGGAAAGAGCAGAGAGUGAGAGCCAGACCUGAGUCUACAUGAGAACCUUCUUUGGGAUAAACAUGGCACCAUCAAUCAGUGGGGAAGGGAUGGAUUGCCUAAAACUCAUUACUUGGUAGUAGAGAAACAGCUUAUUAGUUCACUCUCUCAAGCAUAUGCCAAAGAAGAAUUCAGUGCAAAAGUAAAAUUAUAAAGCUAAAAGGAGAUAUUAGAGAUGUUAAAGAAGGUACUCAAUACACAAACCAUAAGUUGUAAUUAUUAUUUUUUGAGAUGAGUCUCACUCUGUUGACCUGGCUGGAGUGUAGUGGUGCCAUCUCAGCCCACUGCAGCCUUUGCCUUCUGGGUUCAAGCAAUUCUCCUGCCUCAGCCUCCCCAGUAGCUGGGAUUAUAGACAUGUGCCAACAUGGCCAGCUGAUUUUUGUAUUUUUAGUAGAGACGGGUUUCACCUUGUUGGCCAGGCUGGUCUCAAACUCCUGACCUCAAAUGAUCUUCCCACCUUGGCCUCCCAAAGUGUUGGGAUUACAGGCAUGAGCCACUGUGCCCAGCCAUAAGUUGAAAAUUUAAUAGAGUUGACUAUAUUUUAAAAAUUAAGAAUUCUGUAAAGGGUAGGCACAAUAAGCAAAGUUAACAAAAAGGUGACAAAAUAAGAAAAGAUAUAUAAUAUCUAACACCUAAAAGGAGUUAACAUCUAGAAUGCACCAAGAAGACUCGAGGGUUUUUUUUUUUUUUUUUGGUAAAAUGGGGAUAAUAAUAAUAAUAAUAAUAGAAAGUGACAUGCUCAGCACAGAGCCUGCAGUACAGUAAAUGCACAUCAUUUGCUAUUACUAGUUUAUCUAUUCUUAUACUCUGUGACAAAACACAUUUUGUGUGGAGUCAUUAUGUAUGGAUCCUGAAUUUCUGGUUUCUGCAUGGUCUUAUGUUGCCAGCUUAUGGAGUUGCAGAAAAAUGUAUGUACAAAUAUCCAGCCAGUCUCAAUAUCCACAAACGCUGUUGAUAAAUGUCCCUAGAUACUCCCAUGGUUAAAAGUGAGGAGAAUAACAGUGGCCAUUCCUGUGACACAGAGGUGAACAAAAUGCUGUGUGUGCACCACUGUAGCUGUAAAACCAACUGCCGAUGACACCUGCCAGGUGACGUAGCGAGAAGAAUAUGUUUCAUAGCUUGAGGUGUGAAUCUUGUGACUGUCAUAUUCCAUCCUGCCUGAGGCUGAGCCCCAAGGGGGCUGUGCCUGGAGAUAGACAGGCUGGGUGGAGCUGUUUCCCAGUGCUUAGCUCUUUUCCAGGUGUUACUCAUGGCUGUGGUGGGUGGGAAGGCUGAAUGGGCCAGCCGCUUUGUGCUGGAUUUACUGGGGACUCAUUCCCAUACCCAAGGGCAGAUUGGCUACAGAGAGGUGGCUUUGCUCACUGCCAACCAAACCUGCUCUCUGAAAGCAGAGCUUUGUCUUUUUCUGCUUUAUGACCUCAGCUUCGGAGAAGGCUUUGGCUCCCCAAGUGUGGCCCAAAAACUUGGAUGAUGAUGCACAGGGUAGAAGGCAACAAACAAGCUGCCCUUGGUGGCAGUGACCUGAGCUGGGUCUACUCCUUGGGCUUGGGUGAUGAAUACAAAAAGUCAGCCAGGGCCAUGCUGCUGAUAGGGAAGAAGGACUCAUGAUAACCCUGUACCAGGUACUGCUACACAGACUUUCUCCUUCAGUCCUCUGCAAACCUGUGAAGCCUUCUUAUGUGUUUCACAGAUACAAAAACUGCAGCUCAGAAAGGGCAAAUGGUCUGCCCAAAAAUACCUGGAUGAAGUGGGUCACCCAUAGUUAAAUCCAGAGACCCACUGGAAUUUGAACCUUAGGUCUGUUCAACUCUGAAACUUGUGAUGUUUUGUUUUGUCUUGUUUUUUUUUUUGUUGUUGUUGUUGUUCUUGGUGGUGGUUUGUUUCUUUUUUCCACAGCACCACUCUUUUUCUGCAGAGUGGAGUAGGGAGAAGUUGGAAGUGGGAUGGAAACCAGGAUAGGCCCCUGUGAACCCAAAUCUGUGGCUUGGUGGACUCCAGGGAAAAAUGCAUGGCCAGUCGUGACCUUGUCUGAUCCUGGCAGAUGCUUCAUGUAGGUUAUAGAAAGGUAAUUCUACUUCCCAGAGCUCCAUUUGAACAUGUGCUCUUGUGGUCAGUUGGUUUUAGGUGUGGCUUUGGUUUCUGAGCAGAAACUGUUCCCAUGAAAUAAUGGCAUCCUUAAAGUGUUGUGCUUCGACUGUCAUUCAGAGAAGACAGGACUUCCGGGAGAUAUACUAUACAAUAUGGAUGGAUUCCCUGUGUAGGAAAGAACUUGCUCCCUGACCUGCCAGCCAGGUGGAAUUUCAUCUGUGUGUGCUUUUAGGAUCAGGUGCUUUGAAGAACUGGCUUCAUUAGCCACUAACAGAGACGUGUUUGUCGAAACAUCAGCAACUGACUUUUUUGUGUGCUCACAGAUAUUUUUGCACUGCUGCUAUCAGAGGUUUGGAAGGAUUGCUAUGACUACAUGCUCUUGCCCCUCUUUCUAAGGUCUAUGGCAAUGAGUAGCAAUAAUAAUUAUGAUACUGACAAUAGCAAACCAUUCACUCUAGGUUUUGUGCUGGGCACUGGAGUAAGUUUAUGUUACAUUCACAACAACCUUCUGAAGUAUGUGUCAUUUAGGACUGGUUUGACUACAAGUAGCAGAAACCCAUUUUAAAUGGCCUAACCAGUGGAGGGAUUUCUUUUUCUCAUGUAAUAGGAAGUCUAGCUGUAAGCAGUUUAGGGUAUGAAUGCAGGCCCCAUGGUGCCAUCAAGAACUCGGUCUCUUUUGCCGGAGGCUUUCUUCCUCAUGUAUGCAGCAUAGCUGCUCUAUUUUGUGAUUCACAACUAAUUUUUACUCAGGAAGUAUUUGAAAGAAGGGAGAAGCUAAGUAGUCAAUGCGAGCUGGAUGUGUGCCCUCUAACAGGCUUUCUCAGGACUCCAGCUGGUACCUCCGCUUGCAGCAUCUAGUCCAGAACCUCGUUCCAUGACCACAUCUGGCUGCAAGAAAGUUGGGUAAUCCAAGAGCAUUUAAGUGAGCCCCUUUGUUAAUAAGAAAGAAAGGAGGACUGGCUACUGAUUCCGUAACUAGUAGUGCCUAGCUCAAGUAGUUAACGUUUGUUCAAAAUUUACAGACAAAGAAAGUCAGAUUGGAGAAGUUAAGUGUUAAGAAGUUAAGUCCCUAAGGCUCUCUUGCUAGGGAGUGAUGGAGCCCAAAUAUGAAUCCAGGUGUGUCUGACUCCAAAGCUACAUUCCUAAAUGCUGUUUAGAAUUUGUUCUUGAUGUUUGGUGGUAUUUGGGCUGGACAACAGAGGACUUAAGGGGGUUCUCUUAUGGGACAGGAAGGAGAAUUGAGUUUUCAGCUUCUUGAAUAGUGCUAAGAUCAAUGUAUAAAAGAUAUGGAAGGUAGAUUUUGGUACAAGGUAAGAAAGUGAUUGCUCACAAUUAGUAAUUAACUGGUCUAUGGGCUGUGUAGCUAACUCUAUGACCAGGAAUAUUUAUGUAGCUCAGAGGAGAUUCCUAAACUGACUUGGAGUUUGAGCCUAAUAUGAGUUCGAGAGUCUAGGUCCAUGAAACAAAAGUGGCUGAGAUAGAACCAUUGGGAUGAAAAGAGCUUUUGGCUGGGCACGGUGGCUCAUGCCUGUAAUCCCAGCACUUUGGGAGGCCAAGGCGGGUAGAUCACCUGAGGUUGGGAGUUCAAGACCAGCCUGGCCAAUAUGGAGAAAACCUAUCUCUACUAAAAAUACAAAAUUAGCUGGGAGUGUGGUGCAUGCCUGUAAUCCCAGCUACUUGAGAGGUUGAGGCAGAAGAAUCCUUGAACCCAGGAGGUGGUGGGUAUGGUGAGCCAAGAUCAUACUAUUGCACUCCAGCCUGGGCGGCAAGAACAAAACUGUCUCAAAAAAAAAAAAAAAAAAGGAGGGCUUUUGGUCUCCUUAUAGAUGCUUCUUGAUUUGUCAGUUAGAGUGACCAUAUAACUAAUUUAUGAUCCAAACUGGGGCAUUUUUUAGAGUAAGAAAAGGACUUACUAGUAAUUAUGCUGGGACAACAAACAAACACCAGAAUCAUCACGGAUCCAGUAGAAGCCAUGGCUAGCCCAGCCAUAGGCUAAUGGAUAAUGGAAUGGGGCGGCCUGGGCUUCAUUGGAACUGAUAGCUGGGCAAACAUCAGAAAGGACAGACGUCCCCGAGGUAGACCUCCCCGAGGUAGACCUCCCUACCUCUGUAGGUUAAACCUCCCAAGAGGCUCUGCCUGUGAUGGACUUUGGUGACAGACAUUAAAAUAUGAUGAGCAGGGACAAUGUGUGACUACUGAAAAUGUAUGUGUGACACAGCCCCUCAGGCCCUUAGUCUACCUUAACGUGACUCAUUUUCAGAGACACUGAGCUUAGUUAAUGCCGUGUAUCUUACUGAGUCAUGAACCCAGCCCAUUCUAGGCUGGAAAGGCAACUGGAUUUCACAUACCCUAAUGUCCUUCUCAGCUUUUAAAAACUGAUCUUCUGAUUUGCUCCAUGACCUUGGGCAAGUCAUAACCUCUCUGUGUGGUUUGGCUUCUCCUUUAGUGGAAAUAAAAUGGAAAUAAUAGUUAUGUAAGAGAAAAAAGUGAUUCAAGAUUUUCCAAUGAAAGUUGCUGCAUGGAGCCAAGUGAUAUUAUUAUUUUCAUGAUAGUUAUUAGCAGAACUGCUUCUUGUUCCAUCCCCUCUCAUUAAGCCACAGGGAAUUUCUCUCUGGCUUGUGUUUCACUGUUAACCUCCUUGUGCCUGGAUCUCAAUGCCUCUUAAUAUGGAAACUGGAAAUCUGUGAGAAUCUCAGCUAUUUGUUUCAUAACAGAGGCAGCCUAUUCAGGAAACCAUUUAAUAACGAUGCCAUUACAAUAUUGUCUUGAUUCUUUCUUUAAUUCCUUUAUUCAAUAAAUAUUGAUUGAGCAUGUCUGUGUGCCAGGUUCUGUUUCCCAAGGAUAGAGCAAGAUGCAUAAUGACAGCAUGAAGCUUUUCAAUGUUUCCUGAAUCAAGGAAUUUAUGAGAUUUGAAGUUUGGAGAGCUGAUCUCCUGCCGUGAUCUUGCAUCUCUCUUGUCUAUCCGGAUCCCUGAGAGAGAUUUCUAAAAGCAAAACUGCUCUUGUUACCCAUUUCCUGAAGGAGCAAAACUGAAUUUCUGAAUAUGGCACGGAAGAAUCUUCAGGGUUGGCCUCUGUUCACCGUUUUGUCUCUUCUCUCACUGAGCCCCUUUUUGGACUAUAAGUGUCAGCUAUCAGGACUUCCCUACAGGUUUCUGAAUAUUCAGCUCUUUCAUAUCGCUAGGCCAGAGGGUAGCAGACAUUUACUUGUAAAGGGCCAGAGAGCUAAUAUUUUUGGUUUUCUGGGUUAUGUGGUCUCUGUUGCAACUAUUCAAUGCUGCUAUUGUAGUGUGAAAACAGCCAUGGAAAAAAUAUAAAUGCAUGAGCAUUUAAAUAAAGUCAAAUAAAACUUUAUUUACAAAAACAGACAGCAGAAGGGAUUUGGUCCACAGGCUGUGGUUUGCUGAUCUCUGCGUUAGGCUUUUGCUCGUUCUGUGGUCUUUUACUUGUCUUCCUCCUCCUUUCAUCUGACCAGUGCCCGUUCAAUUGUCACCUCAAGUCUGAGGUCUUGCCACACUGCCCUGGGUAGAACUGGUCAUGCGCCCCAGUGUGUUCUGUACUUACCACCCCCACAAGUAACAGAAAAUUAAACCUGUAUUUUUCCACAUAACCAUAUUGUAAGCUUUAUUUAUUCAUUCAUUCACAUGCAUACAUUCACAGAUUCAUUCAUGUAACAAUAUUUAAUGAGCACCCACUAUGGGGCAGAGUUGAUAACUUUUUAGUCUUUGUGAAAGUACAACACAUGAUGACUUUUUAGUCAGUGAAAGUACAACGCAUAAAACAUUCCUAAUACAUGCUUGUGAAAAAAAGGAGAUAGAACUCGAUAAAAAAAUCCAUUGCCAAAGAUUCAUCUGUAUCUUUGUUGUAAGCGCCCACAAGCGGGGAGUUGUCUUGAUUGAUUCAAAGCCUCUCCACUGUGUGGAGGGAUUUGGUCAGUUGACUGUAUUUGGAGCUUUUCUUUUAAGGUUUCUGUCACCUGGUCUGGAAUAGUUUGGUGGCUCCCAAAUGUUGUCCAUUCUUACUCCUUUUCCUAGAACUUAGGGUCCUGUCUUCUGGUGACCUCUUAAGGCAGGACCAAGAGGAGUAGCACCAACUUCUAAACUCCCAUCUGGGCAGGUGACUGACAUGAGUUUGAGGUUUACCAAAGUAGUGCAGUGUGGUUCUUGUUUUUAUUGUUAUUUUUAAGUAGAGAUGUGUUUUUUCCAUUACUCCCUGAGAAAAUAGGGCUGUCUGAGCUAAGGAGCUUAAACAGCUCACAGCAUGGAGGUAGUGGAAUAGCUUCCUUGCAGAGUCUAAGUCUUUUGUUUGUUUUUUUUGUGUCCAGUCUCUGGCUCUUUGAGAGCAAUUUAAAGGUAAAUGUAAGUAUGAAGCUUCUUGAUUACUCAUAUUACAGAAAUCAUUUCAUGGUUUUAUGAGCCAAAAAAUAUUUUAAGUAGGGCUUAAGUCAUCUUCUUAAAUUUACAACCCAUUCUAAAUGUAAACAGAAUUAUAUUUAAUUGGUUGUCACCAAUGAAACCAAAAUUACUUCAUUCGGUUUCAACCUGGUCAGAUAUAGAUUUUCAAUGGUUACCAGGAAGGAAAUGUGUUUGUAGUCAGAGGCAGAGAAGAGGAAAUGGUUAUAGCUGGUUACAAAACAAACAUAAAACCUCCACACUGUUUCUCAUGUUACAAGAGCAAAUAGGGAAGAAGCCACAAAUGGGGCUGUUAGCGCAGAGUGCAUGUUGGGUAAACACUAGAGAAACGGGAAAAUGUUCUGGGUCUCUACUUUUUACGUUAUAGAAAGCCAGGAAGGGAAGCUGCUGAACAGAGCACAAGGUUGUCUGUUUACUAACUCACCCCACAGGUAAUAGAAGUCAAAUCCAAGUUCCAUUGUGCCCAGGGGCUCUUCACCAAGACAUCAAUAAUCUGCCUGUCCUGACAUUUUCAGACUGGUUACUCUUAUGAGGAAAUUAAGGUGAGAAGAAACUAAGGCAGAGAAGGUGGGGAGCAGGGCAGGGUCACAAAGUGACCUUCAGUUACAAAAGGAAAACAAGACAGUGUUACUAACUGACCAGGGCCACGAAAGGUAGUAAACACAGCCAGGGCAAAGUAGAGAGCAUGCAAACUCACCCCAUUGCGACAGAUACUCACACAAUUUGAUGAUAAGAAACUUCUGGCAAGUUCCUCACUGAGCAAGCUGUUGUCACAAGUAUAUUUUGAAUGGGUUUAUAACAAUGUGUCUGUGCGUGUGUUUUAGGUGGCAGGACCAGGGCAAAUGAGUUUCAUGAAUAAAUGUGCUACUUGCUUGCCUGAGGUAUUAAAAUUUAAAAUAAAAUACUAUUUUCUGGCAUGAACAAAUAGUUUACUUUUUUGGCAAUUCUCAUCAAAUGUUAAGUGUCACCACUUGGCAAUGUCUAUCAGAAUGAAAAUUUACAUAUCCUUUGAUUCUGUAAUUCCACUUCAAGAAAUUGAUUCUGUAGUCCUACUCAUACAUAUGUGCAAAAUUAUGUUUGUGGAAGUACAAAACUGGAAACCACCAUUAUGUCUAUUCAGAAGGGGCUGGGUAAAUUAUGGGACACCAAUAUUAUGGAAUAUAGUGCAGCCUUAUAGAUUUGCAGCAAAUUUCACAGUAUCUGUUAAGUUUCCUUAAAGAAUGUAAGAGUAUAUAGAAGGAAGGGGAGGGGAACACACACACACACACACACACUAGGGCAGGGGUCUCCAAUCCCCAGGCAGCAGACCGGUACUGGUCCAUGGCCUGUUAAGAACCGGGCCACACAGCAGAAGGUGAGAGGUGAGCAAAGGAGUUCUGCCUCCUGUCAGAUCAGCGGGCAUUAGAUUCUUAUAGGAGAGUGAACCCUAUUGUGAACUGCCCAUGUGAGGGAUCUAGGUUGUGUGCUCCUUCUGAGAAUCUAACUGAUGCCUGAUGAUCUGAGGUGCAAGUUUCAUCCUGAAGCCAUCCCCCACCCACCUUGGUUUGCGGAAAAAUAGUUUUCCAUGAAACUGGUCCCUGGUGCCAAAAAGGUUGGCAACUGCUGUGCUAGGGGACUUCAAAAAGUUCAUGGAAAAAAAAUUAAAAGAUAAAAAUAAAAAUAAAUUUUAUUUCUUAACAUAAACUCCAUUAAGUUGAAGACACUUGUGUAAGUGGUGCUAGCCAUUUAGUGCACACCUAAAGAACUGAGGGUCCUGGGAAUUUAACCAUGUCAAUGUAAUCUUUUUUACUUUAUUAACUGAAGAAAAAUGGGUACCCUUUAAAGAUUUCUUAAGAUUAGAAAACAAAAAGUCAGGAGUCAAAUCAGGACUGUGAGUUGGAUGCCUAAUGAUUUCCCCGUGAAACUCACAAAAUCGUCCUUGUUUGAUGAGAGGAAUGAACAGGAGUAUUGUCACGGUGGAGAAGGACUCUCCAGUGAUGCUUUUCCUGGAGUCUGGGCUGCUGAAAGUUUUGGCUUUCUCAAAACACCCUCAUAAGAAGCAGAUGUUAUCAUUCUUUGGCCUUCUAGAAAGCCAACAGCAAAAUGCUUUGAGAAUCUUCAAAAAUUGUUACCAUGACCUUUACUCUUGACCAGUCUCCUUUUGCUUUGACUGAACCACUUCUUGGUCCAAGAGGUACGAAGAAUGGAAUCUCUUGGUAGCCAUUGCUCUGACUGGGCUUUGUCUUCAGGAUCAUGCUGGUAAUGCCGUGUUCCACCUCCUCUUACAAUCCUUUAAUGAAAUGCUUCAGGAUCUUGAUCCCACUUGUUUAAAAUUUCCAUUGAUAGCUCUGCUCUUGUCUGCAGCUGAUCUGAGCGCAAUGAUUUUGUUACCUAUCCAGUGAAAAGUUUCGUCAACAUUAAUUUUUCAGUCAGAAUUGUGUAAGCUGAACCAAUGGAGCUGUCUAUGGUGUUGACAAUAAUUAGGUUUAUGCUUAUUGAGUUUAUAAUUAGGUUUAUCCUCCUAAUGGUCAGUCUACCCCAAUUGGGGCACAAACAAUAUUAAUUUUUUUGUUGAGACAGGGUCUUGCUCUGUUGCUCAGGCUGGAGUGCAGUGGCACAAUUGUGGUUCGCUCUAGCCUUGACCUGCCAGGCUCAGGUGAUCUUCCCACCUCAGCCUCCCAAGUAACGAGGACUACAGGCCUGUGUAACCACACUCAGCUAAUUUUUAAUUUUUUUGUAGAGAUGGGGGUCUCACUAUGUUGCCCAGGCUGGUUUCAAACUCCUGGGCUUAAGCAACCUUCCCACCUUGGCCUCUCAAAGUGUUGGGAUUAUGGGCAGGAGCUAACAGAACUAAUGUUUUCCUUGAAAAUGCGUGUGAUUGGUCUGCUGCUGUGGACUUCAUCUUUAACAUGGUCUCAUAUCUUCUUAAAAUGAGCCACGUGUAAACUGUUUGUUUAUUUGGGGAAGUGUCCCCAUAUACUUUUUGUAAAGUUUCAAUGAUUUCACUAUUCUUCCAUCCAAGCUUCACCCUAGAUUUGAAGUUUGUUCUUGCUUCAAUUUUAGCAGAAUUCAUGUUGCUCUGACAGAGGCUCUUCUCAAACUGAAGUCUUAUCCUUCUUACUGCCUCAACUAGAUUCUGUUCCAACAUGUUAUAACAGACUAGUAUGAGUUUAUUUUGGUACAAGAAAAAUGAAUAUCCAUGCAUAGUUUUUUCAUAAUAUGCAUUUUCCAUAAACUUUUUAAAGACCCCGUGUGUGUGUGUGUGUGUGUGUGCGCGCGCAUUUAU